AUAUGGAUUAUCCAGAUCUAAAUUUUGCUAAAUUAAAAUAUAUUGAUACAUAUCUUCUACUAAUUCAGAGAGGUCAAUCCCAUCUUGACUCACGUAGCGACUUGACAAGUACUUGACUGCAUCCAAAAAUCUUUCAUCACUAAAUUAGAAACUCAAUUAGUCUAACACCAAAGUAUAGUGGGUUGCUUGCAAGUCACUGUGGUGA
rnacentral:lncRNA from 1 species